AUCCAAACAAAAGUACCUGUGACUAAAUUCCAUUGUUACCAGUCCUCCCAAGUCAGUCUUCAAAUAAGGGACCUUCUGCCUGGUGUAACUCGAACCAAUAGGAGACCGAGUUUGGUUCUUCAGAAGCAAAGGAAAGUUAUCCUUGGAUCAGAGAAUGAGAGGUGGGAGUUCCAGCCCUAGAGUACAAGCUCUUCUGACAGGCUGUGGGCCAGGCGGCUUUACAGGCCCCUUACCUGAGGUGCUGGCACAGCCAGCUCACAGGAGGAACUCUGAUCUGAAGGGCCAUGCAUGAGGCUGCUGUAUGUGCCCCCUCUAAGCAGUCCCUUGUGAACAAGUGAAACGGGAACAAGUGAAACUUAAGCACAAAGGAAAAGAAAAAGCGUAAAAAUCCAUGCUUCAGAUUUGAUGAACUCUUGGAAAGCAUUUUUUGCCUACUGCUGAUUGUGGAAGCCUUUUCCCUGCAAGAAGUUGUUGAGAUGCUUGAAGAAGUGAGAGGUUGUCAUUUGGUGAGAGGUCGGGUGAAUAUGGCAGGUGGGGCGAAAUUCGUUCAACUUCUGAAGCAUUGAUUGUGCAACGUGCAGUCGGGCAUUGUCAUGGAGAAGCAUUGGGCCCUUUCUGUUAACCAACACAGGCUGCAGACGUUGCAGUUUUCUGCGCCUCGUCAAUUUGCCG
ensembl:lncRNA